rnacentral:rRNA from 1 species
UUUUCCGUGGGGGGACCUGCGGAAGGAUCAUUGUCGAUAUCCAAGAGUAAGAAUGAGAACUUGUGAUGGUGCCUUUUGGGAGCAGAGGCAACAAAAAAACUGCGUAGCCUUCUUUCUCUCUAUGACACCCCUUGCCGCUACUGCCCCGUGUUAAAACGGGAUUGGUGGUGGGAACAUGACCCCGGUGCGUUCUGCACCAAGGAAUAAUUUUGCUGGAUAGCAUUGCGUGCUUUUAUGCCUAGCUUCGUGGCAUGUGAUGUGAUCCUUGCUAACGUGAGAACCUGCAUGACUCUCGGCAACGGAUAUCUUGGCUCUUGCAUCGAUGAAGAACGUAGCAAAAUGCGAUACUUGGUGUGAAUUGCAGAAUCCCGUGAAUCAUCGAGUUUUUGAACGCAAGUAGCGCCCAAGGCCAUCUGGUUGAGGGCACGUCUGCCUGGGCGUCACACUUAGCGUCACUUCAUGCACCUAGUCAACAGUGGUUUGCUUUGUGCUUGCAUGUGUAGAUUGGCCCCUUGAGCUUUUUUGGCAUUGUGGGCUGAAGUGUGGGCUUUGCCGCUAGUUUUGGACGCGGUGAGUGGUGGGUGGACUUUGUGCUCGAUGCCUUUUCUCCGUGGACUAUAGAAACUAGCUUAAUAAGCGAAAAAAGAACCAAUGCAGAUGGAGAUUUAUUGCAUCUUCAAACCAUGACCCCAGGUCAGGUGGGAACACCUGCUGAGCUUAAGCAUAUCA